rnacentral:rRNA from 1 species
CAAUGAAUCUUAAAUAGCCGCGGCUAUCCGUGCUAAGGUAGCAUAAUCACUUGCCUCUUAAUUGGGGGCUGGCAUGAACGGCUUAACAUGUUAGCACCUUUAUUUUAGUGGUUACUUUAAAUUUUACUGAGAGUAAGAAUACUUUCAUUCUAUAGGGGGACGACAAGACCCUGUCGAACUUCACUUCAGUUUAGCUGGGGCGGCCUAAAACAAUUUCUUUUCCUCUAUAUUAAUCUCAGCCCCACAGAGGAUAAAACAAGUUACCGCAGGGGUAACAGCAUAAUUUUUUCUAAAAGACCUUAUUCAAGAAAAAGAUUGUGACCUCGAUGUUGAAUUAAUAUUCUUUUAGAAGCAAGCCUCUAAAAAGAAA